GAUGAACGCUGGCGGCGUGCCUAAUACAUGCGAGUCGAGCGAACAGACGAGGAGCUUGCUCCUCUGACGUUAGCGGCGGACGGGUGAGUAACACGUGGAUAACCUACCUAUAAGACUGGGAUAACUUCGGGAAACCGGAGCUAAUACCGGAUAAUAUAUUGAACCGCUUGGUUCAAUAGUGAAAGACGGUUUUGCUGUCACUUAUAGAUGGAUCCGCGCCGCAUUAGCUAGUUGGUAAGGUAACGGCUUACCAAGGCGACGAUGCGUAGCCGACCUGAGAGGGUGAUCGGCCACACUGGAACUGAGACACGGUCCAGACUCCUACGGGAGGCAGCAGUAGGGAAUCUUCCGCAAUGGGCGAAAGCCUGACGGAGCAACGCCGCGUGAGUGAUGAAGGUCUUCGGAUCGUAAAACUCUGUUAUUAGGGAAGAACAAAUGUGUAAGUAACUAUGCACGUCUUGACGGUACCUAAUCAGAAAGCCACGGCUAACUACGUG
rnacentral:rRNA from 1 species